ACUCUGCAGCAGCUACACUAUCACCCAGCGCCAGACACAGUGCCAGGAUACUGUGGUGACACAACCCUGGGCCUCUGUUCCUCCCUGUCAACAAGACUGAUGGAUUCAAAGAGGAGAAAUGAAGAUGAUAGAGGGACUCAUUGACAUUUCAAUACAUCUGAGAUGGCUGGAAGUGAGACCCCCAUCCUGCAGGCUGCUGUCCCAGUUUGACCCUCACAGGCCCUGGUGCCAGGCUGGAUAGGUGCAGCGACCAGAGUGUCCCUGCAGGGAGGGCGUGUGCAGGCCGGAGAAGAGUCCGAGGACAGCAAAGCUCCCACAUACAGAGAUAGCAGAGGGAGCAAACCCAGAGAACCGAAUGGAAUCAUGGGGAAAAUUCAGAAACAAAAUCUGGUCCAGGUUUUCCACCAAGAAAAGAGCCUCCUUCAACUCAACUUAUUUGUGUUUACAAACUGAGUUCCAAAGAGGCCAUAAAGACGCUACAUUCAAUGGAGGCGAGAAGACAGGAAUUCCUCUUUAAACAUCGGGUCAUCGGGAUUCUGCAGAGGCACACUUCAACUAACAAGGGGGGCAAACACACACAUGAAGACACACUUAGACAUGGACAUGCAACAGGAAGAAAUCAGUCAGGAAAGAUGGAUGAGGAUGUGGCACCUCUGGUUAUUACAGAACUUAAGAAUCUGUUCACUUAAAUGAAGUUGCAAGAAGACUGAGAAGUGUCUUUUCAAGGUCUGUUGAUAAAUUGACACACAUUUUUUGAUUUUGGUAAGUUCUGGUUUCAACAAAUUGUACCUAUCUGAAUGUCUUCAAAACAUUUUGAUAUUGGAAAACACUUUAUUCACGAACAAUGGGGGGAAAAAAUAUUAAUUAUUUACCUUAUAUGACUGUUUUUCCUUCAUCUCAUUUGUCUUGCUGAGUUUGAAAAGGGUCAAGUACAAUAUACUCUCAGAUAAGCAGCGAAAAUACAUGUGAGCAUAUUCAUAUUCACUGAUGAAGCUACAUCUAAAGGAAUUGAAAGUUAUUAUUUUAAUUUUCUGGCUCAUAUUUAUUUUGUCAUGGAUGUUUUCAAGUACUUGCAGCAGCUUGGACUCAAAUUUUAAAUGCAACCUAGGGCAUUGUGUGUGUCUCAGUAACCACAGAUUGUAUAUCAUUAAGACAAAGCCUGUCUGUGGUAUUCAGGUGUAAGAAUAGUGACAUUUUUAAGUAGGUAGCUACAUUCUUUAAAUCAGUGUACUUUCUUUG